CUGGCCAGGUGACGUCCGUAAGUUUCCUGGUCUUCGAUGGUUCUCGAAUGAAAAAUGGGGGGAAAGACAUUGAGUUGGAAACAGCGAGUUGUUGGGGAGAGAGGACCCCACCCCGGGCCGGUACUAGCAGCCAGACACGGACACGCCCUGCCCCGGAGGGGUCAGGGCCAGGCCGAAGGGAGGGAAGUCGCAGUAAACACAGGGUUGGGUUGGGGCGGGAGGCGCAUUCCAGGCGGAGGGAACGGCGCGGGCAGAGGCCUGGAGGCUGGUGGAGGCCUCCUGCCUCGCCUAGCUGCGGGGUCCUCAGCGUGUGGCCCCUCCCCUAAUGGGAGGGGGGGAGAAAGGAUCCGGGGGGAGAGGUCUCGGAGCUGUCGGCGGCAGUGGAAGAGUUAACUUCCCGGGGCUGCCGGACCCCGCCGCGAGCUGGCGGGUGGCGUCAGCGCCAACGUCAGGGCGAAGUGGUGCCGCGUAGACGCGGACGCUUCGGCCGCCCGGCCCCCACCCCACGCGGCGCUGGAGGCCGCGGGGAUGGGGGCGGGGGCGGUCGGCCCUGCAAGCAAUUUACUGGGCUCUGUGCAGAGAGGGAA
rnacentral:lncRNA from 10 species